rnacentral:lncRNA from 1 species
GUUGAAGACAUUUACAAAGAAUUAGUUGUUUGUUAUUGCUAUGUGAGUUGCAAGAAUGGAAAAAAAAGAAAUUCUUUCUUCAAUACUUCCUUCCAGGCUGAGUCAUCACUAGAGAGUGGGAAGGGCAGCAGCAGCAGAGAAUCCAAACCCCAAAGCUGAUAUCACAAAGUACCAUUUCUCCAAGUUGGGGGCUAGAGGGGAGCCAUCAUGAGCGAUGUUACCAUUGUGAAAGAAGGUUGGGUUCAGAAGAGGGCUCUUCUGUAGCUGUGGGAGUUUGCGCCUGCCCUUUCUCUUGGAUUGAGAAAGAGAAUGUUGGUUGAAGCUGAG